rnacentral:lncRNA from 1 species
UAAGAAACCUGUUCUCAGAACUAUAAAUAAGAUAGACGUAAUCUCUAAAUGAUUUUUGCAUUGUGCAGACGUAAAGUUUAACAUGACUUUUAAAUUACUUGUAUUAUGUUCUGUUUUUCUAUUUAUUGGAACUGUGCAGCCAUGGUCCGGGUAAGAGUUAUUUUAAUGUACAUUUUACAUCCGAUUUAGUUUGAAAUUCUGUUGUUGAUGAUGUUGUCCUAUUUAUGGUAUGAACUCGAAAUUUCUGAAAAACAAUCACACAUUUUUUUUCCAAUUUUUUAAAUGUGAUUAAUGUUCAUAUAGGGGGAUAUUACUAGAUUAAUGACGUAAUUAUAUCAUAUUUGUCAUGACUUAUAUAAAUAUAUAUAUAAAUCAUAUUUUUUAAAUCCUAAAGAAAAGUACAUAUUGUUAUAUCUUCUGAUUGAAAAAUAGUAGGCGUUACAUGCACCAUUCGUUAAUCAUUUUAGAGAAAACAUGGAAAUCAUACUCGUUUUCCUAGCAAACAAUUAAGAGAAAACAUUUCCCAAACGGUGAAAACAAUCUUUUUUUUGAAAUUGAACUCUGUUUCUUUCCUCAAGUUAAGAAAAAAGAAUGAAGAUUUUUUUUUUAUUUCACCCACUUUUGAGCUAUGUGUUAUUUUUCGUUUUACCUUGUUUUAUAAACACAUGGCAUACAAUUAUAAUGAAUUGAACUUGUUUAUCUUUAAAUCAAUCAAUAUAAUCACGAAAUAUGUUUCUCAUUUAAAUAACUAAAAAUAAUUACAAUGUCAUUUAGAUUAUCAAGAUAAAGAAAAUUAUAAGUUUUGCCAGUUAUUUUGAUUUAAUGUGAUGGCUUUACAUUUCCAAUUUUGUCAUAUAUUGAAAAGGAUCUGCCUACCUUUCCUGAGCACCUGAGUUGAUAUGCAUAAAACCACUUUAGUUUAGAUAUCCGUUUGUAGUACUUAUUUAUUAUAAUACAUGUAGACAAAUCCGUCUGUUCGAAACAAAUCUUAACUUAAUGCAUUAUGUUUUAUGCAUAUAAGUCCUAAUAUAUCCCAGUAAUUGGUAGUAUUCGUGUCACACUGAUUUCAGUUUAAUAUGUAGUGGUUUGUAGACAGACUGUACUCGAUAACAUUGAUGUUCACCAAGACGUUGUGACAUUGUCAGUUUUAUUUUGACGUUUGUGUUUUGAAUAUCCCCUUUGAAUCUAGCUCUCUAACUGUUUUACGUACUUACUGUUAUUUUCAAUUUUUUGUCUCAUGCUUUUAUUAGGAAUCGUGUAUCCUUUAAAUAAAAUGAUACUUGUAGAAAUAAAAUUUCAGCUGAGUUUAACAAUCAAUGUUUCAAACAGAAACAAUCAUAUAUCUGCAUAAGACUUUUCAACUGGAAAAGUACAUGUUUUCAUAACUUUAUAUAUAAGUUUGAUUCAUAUCAUUCAACAUAGUAGUAAAAUUUCUCAUAACCGUUUCACACGCCUUUUUUUUUCUAAAUGGCGACAAUAUCAAAUGACAAAUUUGUCAGCUGUUUAAUAUGUCUACAUUUGUAUAUCUUCACCAAUUAUAAAGCAAUUUACCAGGUACGAUAAAAAGUCUGAUGUAAUCACAAUAGAUUAAAACUUAAAACGAUCGUACGAAGUAAAUAAAUAUUAAAUCAACUAUGAGGAAUGCAAUUAUUAUCGUUUUAUUAUGUUUUCAACAUUUACAAACACCACAAAUGAGGUAAAUUAAAUGAUUAUAUUCAUGCCCUAAUUUCAUCAAUUAUUGCACUGACAUGAACUUAUAUAAUUGUAUAUAUUGGAAAUUUCGGUUAAUUUUAGGAGAACAUGAUAAUGAUUUAUUCACAAACCCGAUGGAUACUUUUCCUAUAGACCUACGGCGUAUUUUAUACACAAUAUUUCGGGAUUUUGGGGGUUUAAAUGUAAUAACAUUAACGGUACCAAUUUUCCAGCACAAGAUGCGCAUUUCAACAAUAUAUGUCUCCUCAGUGAUUAUCGUGGCCAAAAUACUGUAUUUGAUUUCCAAAGCUGAUAUAAAAGAUGAAGAGCUAUAAUCCAAACAGUUAAACAAGGUGUUUAGUUGUGCCUUCCAAAGUCUUUGAAUUGAGCGUCGUUGAUGAGUUUAAUGAAGACGAAACGCCGAAUUGCCGUUCACAAUUAUUAUCCCGGAAUCUUUGAUGGGUUUAUUCGUUCUAGCUGACUAGAGUGAUUGAUCGUCGAGGUUUAAAAUUAUGCUUGUAACGAUGAAAAUCAUUAGAAAAUGAAAUAUUUGAAUACAUAUUGAAUCGUUUACUUUAGAAUCAUUUAAAGGUUACGUCCAGAUUCGGUUCAAAGUUUUCCUAUUCUUUAUUUGUAUAUUCUUAAUCAAUAAACGAGAUUAUAUCAUUGAUACACUAGUGUUUCCUUUAACUUAAGUACAAUGUUUAUUUAUGUUCAUCUUUGCAUGUAAAUUUUGACAAUCCAAGAGCUCAUACCAUAGUAAUAUUAUAGAAAGAACAGUAACCAAGGGACAACCAGUAAUCCUUAUUAAGGAUAUUCGCUGCUCAGUUUCAAAAUGAAUAACUUUUCACAAAACUAGUAUGUAUUGAUAGGGAAUAAAUUGAGGAAUCAAAAAAGCAAAAAAAAAAAUAUAUAGGGGUCAAUGUGCUUGUUUUCGAGAUAUAAGCCAUUGGAAAUUUGGCGGUAAAAUGUUCUCUCUUGAUUUUUCAUAGCUUUAUCAUUGACCAGUUCUCAAAUACUAUUAAAAAUAAAUAAAAUUUUAUAAGACUUUUACAAAUGAUUAUACACAGAAUGGACGUGACCGGGUACUUGUAUAUUCCAACAACAAAAAGGCUUUUUUGGGGAAGUAUUUUGAAUUCAGUAACACGUUCCUGACACUUUCUUCCUAAAGUUUCCGGACUGCAGCUAAAACUUAUGCAUACACUUAACAUUAAUUUGAAAGAUAAUCAUCAAGUAUUUUUAAUGUACACGACUUAAGAAUAAUUUGCAUUUGAGAUAAACUAUCCGACCCAAUAUAAUGAAGUUACAAAACUAUCAGACCCAAUAUGAUGAAGUUACAAAACUAUCAGACCCAAUAUGAUGAAGUUACAAGACUAUCAGACAAUAUGAUGAAGUUACAGACUAUCAGACCCAAUAUGAUGAAGUUACAAAACUAUCACACCCAAUAUAAUGAAGUUACAAAACUAUCAGACCCAAUAUGAUGAAGUUACAAAACUAUCAGACCCAAUAUGAUGAAGUUACAAAACUAUCAGACCCAAUAUGAUGAAGUUACCAAACUAUCAGACCCAAUAUGAUGAAGUUACAAGACUAUCAGACCCAAUAUGAUGAAGUAACAAAACUAUCAGACCCAAUAUGAUGAAGUUACAAGACUAUCAGACCCAAUAUGAUGAAGUUACAAGACUAUCAGACCCAAUAUGAUGAAGUAACAAAACUAUCAGACCCAAUAUGAUGAAGUUACAAAACUAUCACACCCAAUAUGAUGAAGUUACAAAAACAGACAUUAAAGAAACAAAGCUUAUAAUUUGUAUGCUAGAAGAGCUGUACGUCUAAGAAAUACUUAUUAGUGACACACAAAAAAGAAAAUUCAGUACCAAGAAUUAACAUUAGUACACUUUCUUAUAAAACAAAUGUUGCAUACUGAAUAUAAACAUAUUUCACAAUUUUUAAUUUUAAUUUUAAUUAAAUUUCUAAUUUUGUUUCCAACCUUACAAAUUGUUCGUUUUAAACUACUUUAUUCUCCCAUGUCUUGUUAGGACUACAAAUUUAUUGUUUUUUUUAUAAUAGCUCUAAAUUAUCUUGAAUAUGAUUAUGUUCCCAUGAUGUUUUUUUUUAAACAUAGAAUACCAUCUAUGUAAACUAAUCAUGCAUACCAAGAUUAAAAAAGUGACUUUCAUCUACACGUCUCUACGCGAAACCCAAAUAAAAAGAGUAAAAAAUCCUUCAGUUAGUAUAUUUCGAAAAAGUGCAAAGAUUUAUAAACAGUUGAUCCAUAAAUUUGACCAUAUUAGUGACACGUCAUAUCAUUGCAGUAGUGUUUUACCGUAUCAAAGCAAAUUCGAAGUCUAUUUUAUUUAUGAAUAUAAGCAAAUUUGAACACACUCUAUAACCUUUUCGGAAUAGGUAAAUUAUGUUAUAUAGAUUUUACAUUUGUAUGAGUAUUUACUUUCUUUUGCAAUGCAUUAAAACAUUUUUAAACGUGAAAUUAAUUGCAAACACAAUGAUUUAAUUGUAAGCUCGGUGAAAAAGAAUUUUAGGUAAUAUUGUAUUGUGUUGUGAACUUCAAUAUUAAAAUUGGAAUUGUACAGCAAUGAACUAGAUAAAUUACUCUUUAUGUCAAAUUUCGUUUGAAUCCACAUUGUGCAUUGAAAGCCCCUUUUUUUAUAAAGCCAUUAAUUUUUAAUUUUGUUUGCAUAUAACGUUUCAUUAUUAAUACUGUCAGAUCAAUUUGUUUUUGUAUAUUAAUCUUUGAAUUUCAAUAUUAAAAUAUCUUUGACACUGUGAACAGUGUUAAUAUUCAUAUCAUGUAUAGAUACAUAAAACUAACCAUUGUGUUACUGUCUUAAUCGAAUCAAAUUUAUUUUUAACACAAAAGGUUUGCAUUUUUACAGCAUUUGAUAACAACAUUCUUCACUUAGGCGUAAAUGUUUAUUUUUGUUUUUGAUAGAAAUAAUAUUUCACCGUUACCUGUCUUUGGUAAAUUCGGUGAACAUAUUCCCAUACAUUUCACAUUCGUGUUUAAGAAUUCUGACUAGUAGAAUAAUAACCUAAUAUAGGGAUAUGACCAUUUCUUUUUAUAUUUAUGUCAGAUUUGUUUUUCUAAUUAUACCCCGCUUUAAAAAAGGGGGGUAUACUGUUUUACCUCUGUCUGUCCUUCCAUAUUUUGACGAUUUUAUUAAUUGUGACUGUUUGUUUAACGCAUCAUGUAAAUAUAACGGAAUUUGAUGAGACUGUUAUUAAAGAGAGAGGGUUAGCGCUAUAGAACCAGGUUUAAUCCACCAUUUUCUACAUUUGAAAAUGCCUGUACCAAGUCAGGAAUAUGACAGUUCUUGUCUAUUCGUUUUUGAUGCGUUUUGUUGUUUGAUUUUGCCAUGUGAUUAUGGACUUUCCGUAUUGAUUUUCCUCUGAGUUCAGUAUUUUUGUGAUUUUACUUUUUUCCGUCAGUCCGUCAGUCAAUCCGGCCGUCCCAUGAAUAUUUUUCGUCGCAUUUUUCUCAGGAACUACAACACAAGGAUUUAUCUAAGUCAGCUAUACCGUGUGAUGCGUUUUCAGAUUGAUCACUUGACAACUUCCUGUUUACCGAACACUUGUAUGAUUUUACACAUGAUAGCCAAUUUGAAAAUUUUCGUCACAUUUUUCUCAGGAACUACAAUACAAGGAUUUCUGAAAUUUGGUUUCAGGAUUUAUAUAAGUCAGCUGUACCGUGUGAUGCGUUUUCAGAUUCAUCACUCGACAACUUCCUGUUUACCGAACACUUGCAUAUUUUUACACUAUUAAUAUUAUCCACUUGCGGCGGGGGUAUCAUCAGUGAGCAGUAGAUCGCAGUUUCACUUGUUUCACAAUGCAUUGUAUGUCAAUUUGUAUCUACUACUAGUAUAAACAUUCUUCAUUUUUAUUUAAAAGACAAUUUAAAAUUUUCUUUUAUAACUUAUGCAUGCAUGGAAAAGUAAACUUAGUUUAAACACAUUUUAUUGUCAGUGACACACUACUAUCCUACACAAGUAGUGUACAUUGUCUUCAAUAGAUAAAGUCGUCAUAAUUGUUAUCGAACGAACAGGCUUAUAAUUUUAUAACGCCAGACGUGCGUUUUGUGAUCAUAAGACUCACCAGUGACGCCCAGAUCAAAAUAGUGAUAAAGCCUAACUUAGUACAAAGUUGAAGAGCAUUGGGGACCUACAAUUCCAAAAACAUUUUACCAAAUACAUUAUUGUGUAUUAUAGUUGUGUCGUUGUUCUCCUAACAAUUUAAUGCGUUUCCUCCAGUUUUAGUUUGUAACCCGGAUUUGUUAUUUUCUAUCGAUUUAUGAGUUUCGAACAGCGGUAUACUACUGUUGCCUUUAUUGAAGACGUGUUUCAAUAAGUUCUUACGUAAAACUUAAGUUUACACCGCGUUCAAGAGAUCUACAUAAAAUGGAUACCUUUUAGUAAAUUAUGUGUUGUAACUGCUUAAAAAAAUAUUUGUUAUUCUUAGUACUUCAUAUGUCUUAAAGAAUUACAAUUGUCUUGUAUUGCCUAUAUGACAUAAGGAGAAAAAGUAAAAAAAAUGUCGCAUAGACACUGAGAACAGCUUGCACUGUUGACUAUUAUUAAUCGUAUAGACCUAUUCCAUGUCAAUUUCCAAAGAAAUAUGUUUUUGAGACGCAAUCCACUCAGAGUAUUUCAUGUUUGCUUGUUUUGAGUGGAAUAACAUGAAAUGUAAAUACAAGGUCUGAGCCCCAUUUGCAGCAUACUGUUUAAUUCUACCAUUGACCUUACUCUAUUGGUCUUUGUUAAAUGAAACUAUUCAAAAAGUAUGUAGAUUUCAUUUUUGUUUUAAAAAAAACCAGCUUGAUAUACUAAAGUUUCAGGGAUAUCGUUACCAUAAAUUACUUAUAACCUUUACUAAAUUUUUCCAUAGAUAUAAAGAAUUGGUUUUGAAGUUUGGUUGUACCUGUAGAAAACUUAUUUCAAACGAGAUAGCAAAUCCUCAUUUUUUACGGAAAUGUAGUUAACCGUGCCCGGAAGUUCAGAAAUGAUCCAUGUAAACUUGUUGUUCCUUUAAAUAAACUUAUUCUAAAAUGUUACCUAUUGAACACUGUAAUAAGAUCAUUGAUGCAUGAAUAUUGUUUUUAUUGGUAUAACUAUUGAUUUUGUUAUCAGUAGAUUAAAAGCUAACUAAAUACUACUGGUUUGUUAUAUACAUAUACAUUUUCAUGGAUCUACAAUCUGUCGAUACCUGUAAUUUGGCAUUGCACAGGUCAUGUUUUUCUCUGGCUGUUUAUGACGUAUUUACACUAAAUCCAUUAUAUGUUGGAUGUGUACGGAUUGAGUGAUUAGUCUUUGAGGCAUGUUUUUUUUUAUUAGUUGGUAGUGGCUUUGAACUAGCUGUCAUAUAACUGCGAGUAUUCUCAGAUCCGUUCAUUGUGUCUUUUUCUGUCGGGAUGUAUAAGUACCCGGCCACGUCCACUUGUAUUUUUGUCUAUCUGAUGAGUUAUGCCUUUUUCAACUGAUUUUUAUAGUUCGUUCUUAUGUUGUACUGUUAUACCACUAUCCCAGAUUAGGGGAGGGUUGGGAUCCCGCUAACAUGUUUAACCCCGCCACAUUAUUUAUGUAUGUGCCUGUCCCAAGUCAGGAGCCAGUGGUUGUCGUUUGUUUAUGUGUUAAAUAUUUGUUUUUCGUUCAUUUUUUUACUUAAAUAAGGCCGUUAGUUUAUGUUUGAAUUGUUUUACAUUGUCUUAUCGGGGCCUUUUAUAGCUGACUAUGCGGUAUGGGCUUUUCUCAUUGUUGAAGGCCGUACGAUGACGUAUAGUUGUUAAUGUUAGUGUCUUUUUGGUCUUUUGUGGAUAGUUGUCUCAUUGGCAAUCAUUCCACAUCUUUUUUAUAUUUCAUUCUGUCCAGUACUGCUGUAAAACAUUCAUCUUUUAUUUUAUCGCAUAUAAGACAUUAACCAUAACAUGAAGUAAAUGCAUUAAUUUUCAACCCAGCACUAUAAGGUCUGUAAGCAAAAGUAAAUAUUCUGUUCGUCCCUGGCCGGGAUUCGAAAUUAUGCUACUGAGAUAAAGGGCACUCAAGCGACUUUUGCACUAAUUCCGACGCGCUUGACCCAUUGACAACACAGACUCUACAGAAAUAAGGCUUUUGGUGGCCGAUAAUUACAUUUCCUUGUCGUUCGUUCUUUUGAUUGAUAGCGUUUCAGUGAUCUAUAGUUGUAAUUUUCUGUGUCAUUUGAUAUCUUGUGAAGAAUUGUCUCAUUGUCAGUCAUACCACAUCUUCUUUUUUUAUAAGACAACAGCGCAUAUGUUGCGUCUGUUGGUAUUAAAAAUGGAUAUACUUAGGAUAUGUUUGAUGAUGAGUUUAUUAGAUGCAAAAUCUACAUAUGUUUUUUGUCGUGCCUAGUUGUCUCAUUAAAAGCAUACCACUUCCCAUAUUUAAGUCAAACACUAAUACAAUGAAAACUACAUACUGAGAGUUUAGUUUAGUUUAAACAUAUUUUAUUGUUCCAAAAAGAGACAAAAGGAUUAGACACAAGUUUUGUUCAACUUAGUAACGUCUUCUCCAAUAUAUACAUAAAUAUACACAUGAAUAAACAUUACAUAAAUCUGACUUAAACCAAUUAUUAUUUAAGCAUGAAGAUACAUACUAAUGCCUCUUAUUACAGUUAUUUGACGCCUCUUAAAUCAGUCAUGUUUAUAAAAGUAUGUAAUUUGAAACUGCUUUAUCAUACUUAUAACGAUAUAUCAGUCAUUUCAAAAAAUGUACAUUUUUCGGUUAUUGACUAUUGUCUGUUUAUUUGUAAGUUUGACAUAUUUUUUUUUAAUUUAACAUAAGAGUUUACAUAUUGUGCAAGAUAGUACAUGCAAAUAUUAGUGUGCAAAAAGUUUCAUAUUUUUUUUAUGUUCGUUGAAGUCUGAAAAUUCGCCAAUUUCCAUGCGUUCAUUUUUGAUAAAUAGUUAUCAAAAGUACCAGGAUUAUAAUUUUAUACGCCAGACGCGCGUUUGCAUUCAAAUUGUCUGUACAUAAAACUGCAUUUAAAGGUAAACAGAAUGAUUUUUUCUUCUUCAUUUAGUAACAUCAUAAUUGAAAAUAAAUAACUUUCCAUGUUUCAAAUCAUGACAACUUUUAUUCCACAGUCACUGGAAUGUCUGUUCAUCAAUAUUUGUCCUUCCUGUUACUAUUUAUUUGUUUACGGAAUAAAACUAGUUUCUCCCUCAAAUAACGGCGGUUUUUUAUGGUGACGUCGUAGGCGUGGAUACAGGACGUAACGACAUGGUGAUUUUUUUUAUGUGGAAAGAUUUUGGUCAUCAGAAUCAAAAGAUCAAUAGGUAUUGAUGUAUGCGUACCUUUUGGUGAUGUCUUUCAUGUUACCAGUUGAUAGAUUAUUUUAAUUGCAUAAGACUAAUGAAACGCUUGUUACCGUAACUUAGGCAUGGGCCGGAAGUAUAAAAACACUACAUCAAUUAUUAGGGAGCGACUAUUUUAAAACCAAUUUAAGUUAUGUACUAAUUUUUCCAUCCUGUUACUGUCCUUCCUGUUACAAAGACAGUGGUAACAGGAGGGACAAAAAUGGUAACAGGAUAGACAUACUUUGUAAGAUAACUGAAAAUGUCUCUUACAUUAUCGCAAAAAAAUUGUUACACAUAUUUAUUACCGUACGGUAUAUUAAUUCAUAAAAUGUACAUUUGUAUUGAGGUAUUUCUAGAACAAGUCAAGUGCUACCUUGACUGGUAACAGGAUGGACAAAAUUAUUAAUUGUGCAACUAUUAUUUAGAAUUCAGUUGCCGAUAUUACUGUACAGCUAUUAUUCAAGCGUGUCAUAUAGAAUACGCAUUGUUUCUUUUCAAUACUCUUUGAAUGCUUUACCCUUUGCGAUUUGUACUUAAAUGUUUUCUUCAGUACCUGAACCUAAUUUGGUUCAUUUUGUUCCUUGAUGUGUUAUUUUGUUUUGCUUGGGUUGUAAAUCUAUCAUCGAUUCAUAUUUUGCCAACUUUUGUACUGGUUUUAAGAGACAUGAUACUUUCUCGUUACAGGCAAAUAGAGAUACAGACCUUGCGAGACGACAGCAACACUUAUUAAAAACAAAAGAAUGUCUUUUAUUCCAAAAAAAAGGGGGGUUGCACAACAUAUAAAUGUGGGUAUAUUAUACCUCCGGUUGUUGUUUGAACUCCCUUGCCCUUUUUAUAAAAUAACAAUGUGAAAAUCCCUUCUCCGUCACAUAUAUAUUUCACAGCUACCACUUUCAUACUUAAAUGAGAUGAUAUUAGGAGAUACAAAUAUUAGAACACCAAUUUUAGUCUACAGUAGGUGCACAUUAUGUACGUAUGGGUCGACCCAUUAAUUGAUAUAAGAAUUUCUACCCAUUGAUUUAUUGCCUUCUUAAAGUUGCAGGUCAUUGAUAUAUUUGCCAUUCCAAAUAUAAAUACGCACACCAGCGGCAAAUCUGUGUGUAUUAUUCAUUUUUAUAAUAACAUACUCCCCCCUUUUUUUGACGCCUCCGUGCUUUUCUUUGCCAAAAUCAUUGAGAGACGACCUGCUACAACUUCCAGAAUAUUGGCUAUCAUUCCGAUUCCAAAUAAAAUCAGAACCUCUUCGUGAACUUAUGGAGAUGAUCCAAAAAUCCAAGAAUGACAAGCCUUCAGUGUUAAAAUGUGUCAGAAACUAGAUACAUGUAUAUCAGAAUCAUUGACAAUAAGAAAAAAAUAUUUUGAAUUUCCGUUCAGUUGUAUUGUUGUCUUCUUUAACAUGUCUUCCUGUUUAUAACAUAUGAAAUUAGUUUUGUUUUUUACGCCUACAUUUUCAACCUUGUCCAAGACGGUGCGAUGGGUAGUUGUUCUGGUGAUUGGUUAGCCUUAGCCUCCAGUGGACACAAAAAGGCAUUUUCAGGAAGAGAAUAUGAUAAAUGAAUAAGAACUAACAUUCUGAACUGAAAAUACCAAUUUUUUUAUUUGUUUUUGUUUUGCUAUGUUGGUUUGCCCCGGACUGGGUGAUACACGUAUAAAUGGUUCGUGUAUAAUGUUUAGAUACUUAUAUCUCGCGUUUGUAUCCCUAUGGAAUUCAAAAUCCAGUUUUUUGUUAUUGAUUUUCGUGACCCAAAUAAUGUUUUGUCUCUACUGUUACCACUUUGUCCUCCCUGUUACUGCCUCUUUUCGUUCCUGUUACCCCCAAAAAUGUGUAAAAUAAUUUUUACAAUCAACAUAACUGAUAUAUUGACUAAGUUUCCAGUUAUUAUUAUGAAAAGGGACAUACUAGUAAAUUUGCAAUGCCACUGUCUCCACAAUAUUUUUUUAAGAGUGUUUGAAAAAUAAGAAAUGUGAUGAUUUUCCUGAACGUACCGACUAUCUGCAGAUUUUUUUGGGGUAAUCUACAUAAAUGAUAAAUGUAAAUGUGAUUUCAAAUGAACACUGCUAUGCAAAUGUGAGCCACACUUUUCAUUGGAUAUUUUCUGUUAUAUUAUCACUUUUGCUAUCAGUUAAAAAAAGUAACAGGAUGGACAAAAUCUGACACAAGCUGGCACACAAUUUUAAAAUAAAAUUUUCUCAGGUGUUGGUAAGAUUGCAUAUUUUGAAAAAAUAUUAACAAAUCAAUAUGCUAUUGGUUUUUUAAAUUAAUUUGCAUUUAUUUUAACUUUUUUUUCUCGAAAAGUUCAGAUUCCGAAUAUGUACUUUAUUUUGAAAUGACUGAUAUAUUUACUGCAUUGUUGACACAUGAAAUGUUGAAGUUUAGUCAAGUUUCAACUUCCUUCUUCGUUCAUGUGAUCUAAAGCAUCAUGUUCAUGAAUAAAAUAAAGCAAAACAAAAAAGUACGGUGACCCAUUAUUGCGGCCAUGUUUUAUCUUUUGGUCUGUUUUGGUAGACGUCUAAAUGACAAUGAUAACUAAACCACUUUUGUGUUUUUGUGUGGAUACCUUGACACUGGCACACACAAACUUAACAUUUUACGUUUGUUAUAGUGACUAUGUGCAUUUGUAUUGAAACAGUCUUAUUUAACCUUAAUAAUUUUUUUUUCUUAAUUUCAAAAUAACUCGAAAAAAAGGAGAAAACAUAAAAUGUAAAUUUGAUUUCUAUUCAUCUUGAUAGUUGGUAUUGUCAAGAGUAACUUGUCUUUGUAACAACCAAAAUAAGUUUAAGGUUCAUGUGUAAAGUAAACAACUCGUGAAAAGUUAGCUAUAUUUGUUUGAUUAUUUAAAUUCCGAAUUUCAGGCACACAUUUCAUAUUCCUGUUUAAUCAUUGUGGAUGAUUAUGUGUCCCGUUAAAAAUGACUUUGCCUACUGGAAACACCACGAUUGAAUACAUACAGUACAGUAAAUUGUUGAUGCGUAAUAUAGUUGACUAUAUUGAUAUAAAUAAAGCAAGUAAAAACGAAUUAUAUAUGAUUGUCAAUAUCAGGAUGAAACAUGUAUUUAUGAAUAAUUACAUUAGAUGUAUGUUUGAUUAUAAUACGUUAUUCUGAUUUGCUAAUUGCACAUCACAUGUUAUUCCGUAAGCAAUUGCAUUAGAAAAUAACAUUUAUCAUUCAUGAUGACACGAGGUCCCAUAAUAAAGUGCACAGGUGAAUUAAAUUAAACUUCAUAAAAAUCGUGUUUUUAUAUUCCUAGCUAAAAAAAUGUAAUUAUAAGUAUUGAAUGCUUCUUUUUGUAACUUUAUAGGGUUGUAAAAGCGUUGGCCGUGCGUACAUUUUCAGAAUGAAGCGCUUCCGCAACGCUUUUACACCCCAAUAAAGUUACAAAAGGAAGCAUUCAAUUCUUAAAUACAAACGAAAUUAUUUGCAAUAAAUCAAAUUGACUUAACCUUAAAGGAAGGUUGCAAAAUACACUGACAGGAUAACUGAUUAACAUCUGUUAAAUCAUAAUAAUUAAAACGACGUCUAUACCAGUAAAGAUAGUUCUUUAUUUUCACUUUGAAUCCUUAUGCUUCUUAAUAGAAAAUGAUUUAUGAUCAAACAAGAUCGAACUUAUGCUGCAAAGAGAUGCUACUUCAAGUGUAGUUGUCGUUAUGUAAAUCUGAUUUUGUAUUAUUAAAUAUACAAAUGAAACACUUUGUAAAAGUCCAAAUUGCUUCAAAUACUACUACAAUGAAGGUAAAUUUAUAGUAAACAUUUGAAAAAAAUGAAGUUAUAAAUUUCCUUUGUACAUUAAAGGUAAUUUGGUUCAUAAAGCACACAAAUGAUAAUGUAUGACAUUUCAUCAAAUUCGCAUUUGCACCAGAAAGCUUUAAUUUGUAAUGCAUAUUUUAUUUUUUAAUGAUAUGAGUAUAUUUUACAUAUUUUAACAAACACAAUUCUCGAUUUCUUUCAUCUACAAGUUGUGCUUGGUUGUGCAUGUGGUGAUUUUAAUGUUUAAUAUAAAUAACGAAUAGCUUAUACCUUGCAUUUGUAAUGUUAUGCGGAUAAAUUUAUAUAGAUUAAUUUCUUCGUCAUCACAUAUCAUACGACAAUAAAUAUCUUCUUACAGAACGGAUUCAAAAAACACAAAAACUUAAAUAACUUUAGAUGAAAGAUCAGAUUACUUUGGAUAAGACACCAGCUUUCCUAUAUUUAUCUGCGUGGGUUUUUUUGUUUUUGUUUUUACCUUUCUUCUGUCCCAUUGGUUGUAUCAUUUUCAUAUCGCAGUUGAUAUGUAACGCGCGUGUAUGUUCACCCUACACGAAUUUCAUCAACAAAGGUUUGUUUUUGAUCUGUAAAAAAACAUUGGAGAUACCAAUAUGUAUGAAAGACGCACGUUUCGUUUGCAUUGGUCUCACUAUUGACGAUUUAAAUAAAACAUUUGAAGGUCAAACCAGAACUAAGCCGCUGAUAAGCAUAGAGAAUCUCGAAAGGUUCGCCAAGUUUAGUUUAAUUUAGGUCUAUUUGAACUACAAAAAAGUUGCAAGGAUGACAGAAAUAAGAUUUUAAUUCGUUGUUUGAUUUGUAAGUUUUUAGGUUGCGUCCUCUGUAUUAUUGCGACACAUUUUUUAAUUAUUGUUUUACAUUGCUGGGAAUGCACACCUUACGCUAAAAUGGUUUGAUGUGAGCGUUUCGGUCAAGUUGGUGUUUAUUUCAUUCUUUAAAGUCAGAAGAAACGAGUGACCGGUAAAAAAUUAUGUUCUUCCAAAUCUUGAACCAAUGCAUACAAACAUCAUAAACUUAGUCUUCUGUGCACGAAUUUAUCAUUUUUUUCGUGUAAAUUUCGUAUAAUCGUCAAUUUUUUUUUCAAUCAGUCAGUGUUGUUGUGAAAAUAUGGCAGGUAAUUAAAGUUCGUGUUUUGAAACCGAAGUUUAACGAUGGUCACCUUUGUCAACAAUCGACAAAAAAUAAACAAAAAAGCAUGGAAAGAGAGCACGUGUUUAACAUGUAAAUUCAGAAAAUAAUUUAUUUUAAGGACAUCCAUGCGUAUUGUGAUCACCGGAUGUUUACGAGAUGGGUCACACUGAGGUCACUUUGCAUACGGAAAAUAUGUCGGGGGAAUUGGUUGCUGGAAGCAAGCAAUUAAAAUAAAGUAAACUUCUUCUAAAUAUGAAUAAAUUAAAGAAUUUUCUUCAGAAAAAAGUAUAUGUACAUAAGUUUUAUAAUGAAAACUAUCCAUUGAGUUAUAAAAAACAUAUGCAUUAUUUUUUUUUAUUUGAGGUUUCUUAUGACUUUAAGAUUUAUUUGUAUAUUCUUAAUAGAUUAAAAAAUAAACACAUUGAGUAGCCCUAACGUUGACGAAUGGUUUGGAAUAGUUUGUAGACCUUUAUAUUGAAAUUUUGAAUACUUAUGUGUUUAAAGACUCCCUUUCCUAUACUUAUUCUAUUGAUACAUUGUUUAUUUAGAAAAGAGUUUUUGUUAAAUCAGUGAUCAUUUUUAGAAAGUUUUGAAUUGGCCAUGACCCAGGUUAUGUACUUCUUUUUCCGCUCUAUAAAACCGGUAUAAAACUUUAAAUUACAUUUUAACCAAUAGCUGAUAAGCAUAAAGUGUCAAUGCAACUGACAUAGUCAGAACAUAAAAAAAGAUUGAUAAAAUAUUAUGAUGGAACAAUCAUAACAGCGAGAACUAUCGUAAGAUGUAUUAAUAAGAUUGAAUUUCCAUGCACGAACUUGUUUUCAUUUGUUGAACAGAGAAAUAUGCUUUAUGCUUAUAAACAUUUAUGAAUAUUAACAUACCAUUAUUUAAUGUUAAGUUAUGUUUGAAACAAUAGCUCUAAAUAAUGAAAUGAAAAACCAUUUUGUGCUUGCCUUGAUAUUUCAUUGCACGAUACAUCACUGCACUCGUAUGUUACACUACCUUAUACGGGUAUGCAUAGGUUAACAUACUGAUGUUUCCGCGAAUAUAUUUGUAUGUUCACAUUAUACGCAAAAUAUAUUGAAUCGGUCGCCCAAUCCAGUGAAUGAGUUGCAAUGCAGAGUAAAAGAGGGACAAAAGAUACCAAAGGGACGGUUAUGGCGACCAUCAAGUGCAGCAGAAUUUACAAAACAAUUGUGUCUGUUCCAAGGGUAACGAUACAUAGUCUCAAACACUUAGUAGCUCUGUACUUGCAUUCAUAUUCCAAAAAACAAAGCCUCCUAAACCUUUCGAAUAUUCGCCAAAGAGGAGGAGCAAAUAUCCGAUACAUGCACGCAAAAAUCGAUUUCUUUUGCACCGUUCAUAUUGAAUACAUUUGUCUACUUCUGGCAUUGCAAAGGUCAGUAAAUGUGAACAUCGGGACCUUACUAAAAAUCACCACAGUCUGGGUUUAUUAGUCAAUGAUUUCUUGUGUUACAUAAAAUAAAAGUAAAAUUCAUAAAGACAAAUAAAAGAAUACUUUAACUCUUUAUUCAGAUAUUAAGCAACUUCAGUACCCAGAAUCUUUACUACAAAACCAACGUGUAUUGUUUGUGAAGUUGAUACAUAAAAGUUAUCAGCAAGGUCUUAAUAACAUCGGUCCCUUCCAAUGAUUGUUUUUAGAAAAAGGACGAGACGUUCUUUGAAUCAAUCCUGGCUCAUCAACUUUCUGUUCAGACACUGGUAACGUUUGACAAAGUUUGUGAAGAGUCUGUAAGCUCUUGAAUACCAAUUAGGUUGGAAAAUGUAUAUCCGAUAUGCAGGUGAAGUUGGUAUACAUAUAGCUUAUAUCAAAUACACAAGAGGACCACACUUUAUAUUGAAUCCUUUUGUAAAAUUACGGAAUUUGAUGAGACUGUUAUUAAAGAGAGAGGGUUAGCGCUAUAGAACCAGGUUUAAUCCACCAUUUUCUACAUUUGAAAAUGCCUGUACCAGGUCAGGAAUAUGACAGUUCUUGUAUAUUCGUUUUUGAUGCGUUUUGUUAUUUGAUUUUGCCAUGUGAUUAUUACUUUCCGUAUUGAUUUUCCUCUGAGUUCAGUAUUUUUGUGAUUUUACUUUUUUUUUUAAACAAAUAACAAUAAAAGGAAGGCAAAAUAUAGCAAAGGGACAUUCAAACUCAAGAGUGUGACAUACAUUGAAAACAUCAUGGCAAAAAAAGUAACAUAAAAAACUAACCACAGUAUACAAAAUACAACUGAGUUAGUACAUUUCAAUGUUUUACAAUAAAGACAUGAAUUAUGAAUGGUAAACGAAUUGUAUAAAGCUAAUUCAAUAUGACAUCAGCAAAUUUCAAUAUGCACACCGUUGUAUCCGAAUAUAUAUGUUACGAAAAGAGGGACGAAAGAUACCAAACGGACAGUCAAACUCAUAAAUAUAAAACAAACUGACAACGCCAUGGCUAAAAAUGAAAAAGACAAACAGAAAAACAAUAGUACACAUGACACAACAUAGAAAACUAAAGAAUAAACAACACGAACUCCAUUAAAAAACUAGGGGUGUACGAAAUGUCAUAACCUACAGUUUUGAGAAAACAUUUUGAUCGAUAUCUCAUAAAGAAUCCUGGAAGAAGCAAUAAUUAGCCAAUAUAAAAAAUAUAUAUUACCUUGUUCUUUAAUGUCUUUUACCACUACCUACCCCCUUUUCGUUAUUAGUAGACCAAGGAUCUCACAUCAAAAGACAAUUGGUCUCUAUAACCUGUGAUUCGUUAGUUAAAAAUACUUUUCGCGUUUUAUACACAGGGAAGAAAAGCUGAAAUACUGAAUCUCUGAAUCAUCCGGUCGAAAAUUCAUACAAUAUUACGAAAUUAGGAUAACACAUGUUUCACUUUUUUGUACGGUUGCAAAUAAGCAGAGAUGAUAAGUAAAACAGUGUUCGAGGAGAUCUUUCUCUAACAGCGAAAUUUUUUUAGUCUUUUCACAAAAUAGAAGAAAAACCCAAUAACAAGAAAAUAUUCUAUAGAUCGUUCCAAUGAAAGAUGAAAAGAUUUUAUAAUCAAAACAACAUCAUUGAGGUUAUUAAAGCAACCAUAAGAAAGAUAACUUCUUUGAAAAUAUGUUGAAAACUAGUACAUAUUAUAUAAGUUGAUGUUUACAUACUUUUAAUAAUGUCAUAUAUUCAUCAAAAUCUUUUAUUCGUAACUUAAAAUCGAAGAAAUAUUAAGUAUAAUUUUGUACUUGAUGCAAUAGAACUUAUAUAAAUUACCAUUAAUGUGAUCUUGAAUAUGAAUUGGUGGUAAAAACUUUAAGAACUUGCUACAUAAUGAUACUUUUUAUUUAUUUUACAGAAAUUAUUGUGCACGACUUGUAAGUUCUUUCCGGUAUCAUAAAUAUUGUAGAUGUCGGGUCUGGGGUUGGU